rnacentral:rRNA from 1 species
UACGUAGGGUGCAAGCGUUGUCCGGAAUUAUUGGGCGUAAAGGGCUCGUAGGCGGUCCAUCGCGUCGGGAGUGAAAAGCUGGGGCUUAACCCCAGUCCUGCUUCCGAUACGGGUGGACUAGAGGUAGGUAGGGGAGAACGGAAUUCCUGGUGUAGCGGUGAAAUGCGCAGAUAUCAGAAGGAACACCGGUGGCGAAGGCGGUUCUCUGGGCCUUACCUGACGCUGAGGAGCGAAAGCAUGGGGAGCAAACAGG